CCUACGGGAGGCAGCAGUGAGGAAUAUUGGUCAAUGGGCGCGAGCCUGAACCAGCCAAGUAGCGUGAAGGAUGACUGCCCUACGGGUUGUAAACUUCUUUUAUAAAGGAAUAAAGUGAGUCACGUGUGCCUUUUUUUAUGUACUUUAUGAAUAAGGCUCGGCUAACUCCGUGCCAGCAGACGCGGUAAUACGGAGGCUCCGAGCGUUAUCCGGAUUUAUUGGGUUUAAAGGGAGCGUAGAUGGGUUGUUAAGUCAGUUGUGAAAGUUUGCGGCUCAACCGUAAAAUUGCAAUUGAUACUGGCAGCCUUGAGUACAGUUGAGGUAGGCGGGAAUGGUGGUGUAGCGGUGAAAUGCUUAGAUAUCACGAAGAACUCCGAUUGCGAAGGCAGCUUACUAAACUGCCACUGACAUUGAUGCUCGAAAGUGUGGGGAUCAAACAGGAUUAGAUACCCUAGUAGUC
rnacentral:rRNA from 1 species